GCAGCUACCCAGCAAUGGGAUGCGAAUCUCGAAAGCCUGUCUCAGUUCGGAUUGGAGGCUGAAACCCGCCUCCAUGAAGUUGGAUUCGCUAGUAAUCGCGCAUCAGCCAUGGCGCGGUGAAUACGUUCCCGGGCCUUGUACACACCGCCCGUCAAGCCAUGGGAGCCGGGGGUGCCUGAAGUUCGUGACCGCAAGGAGCGACCUAGGGCAAAACUGGUGACUGGGGCUAAGUCGUAACAAGGUAUC
rnacentral:rRNA from 1 species